rnacentral:rRNA from 1 species
UACGUAGGGUGCGAGCGUUAAUCGGAAUUACUGGGCGUAAAGCGUGCGCAGGCGGCUUUGCAAGACAGAUGUGAAAUCCCCGGGCUCAACCUGGGAACUGCAUUUGUGACUGUAUAGCUAGAGUACGGUAGAGGGGGAUGGAAUUCCGCGUGUAGCAGUGAAAUGCGUAGAUAUGCGGAGGGACACCGAUGGCGAAGGCAAUCCCCUGGACCUGUACUGACGCUCAUGCACGAAAGCGUGGGGAGCAAACAGG